AUUAAUUGUUUUUUAGUCCAUCAAUUUUCAGAUUUUGGAAUUAUCCAACUAAGUCUAAUAACAAUUAAUAUUCAGUUGUUGCAUGUCAAAACAUGUAACAUACUAAGUUAAGAUUCAUAUGGCUAAAAGAACUAAAGUUUUUAGCAUCUAAUAUUUUAAAUUAGUCAAUUGAAGCAUUAUGUUGCCAAAGUAAUCUCUAUUGUGUAGAUUGAUUGAUCUUGAAAUAUAAGAUGACUGUGGAUGUUAGUCUUCCAUGCGUUUAACACCGGCCCAAAGGAAGGUUGUUAUUUGUAAGGAAUUCGAACAUGCUUGUGGUGAUAAAUAUGAGACAAUUAUUUGGUUUUCCAUGUGAAUANN
rnacentral:lncRNA from 1 species